UACGAAGGACCCGAGCGUUAUCCGGAUUUAUUGGGUUUAAAGGGUGCGUAGGCGGAUUAGUAAGUCAGUGGUGAAAGCCCAUCGCUUAACGGUGGAAUUGCCAUUGAUACUGCUAGUCUUGAGUAUGGUUGAGGUGGGCGGAAUGUGUCAUGUAGCGGUGAAAUGCUUAGAUAUGACAUAGAACACCAAUUGCGAAGGCAGCUCACUACUCGAUCAUUGACGCUGAUGCACGAAAGCGUGGGGAUCAAACAGG
rnacentral:rRNA from 1 species